GGAAUAGUUCAAUCGGUAGAACGCCGGAAUCAUAAUCCGUAUGUUGGAGGUUCAAGUCCUCUUUCCG
rnacentral:tRNA from 1 species